rnacentral:rRNA from 1 species
AGGAAGAGAAACUAACCAGGAUUUCCUCAGUAGCGGCGAGCGAACAGGAAAGAGCCCAGCACCGAAUCCCGCGGUUCCGCCGCAGGGAAAUGUGGUGUUCGGGAGGGUCCGUUUAUCCCGAGGUGUCGCGUCGCGUCCAAGUCCAUCUUGAAUGGGGCCACUUACCCGCAGAGGGUGCCAGGCCCGUAGCGACCGGUGCGCGCCUCGGGAGGAUCUCUCCUCAGAGUCGGGUUGCUUGAGAGUGCAGCUCUAAGUGGGUGGUAAACUCCAUCUAAGGCUAAAUACGACCACGAGACCGAUAGCGAACAAGUACCGUGAGGGAAAGUUGAAAAGAACUUUGAAGAGAGAGUUCAAGAGUACGUGAAACCGUUCAGGGGUAAACCUAAGAAACCCAAAAGAUCGAACGGGGAGAUUCAUCGUCAGCGACGCUGGCUUCGCGUCGGUGGGCGAUGCCCCGCGGGGCCUCGCGGCUCGCGCGCGGGCACGCUGCCGUGCGUCGAUGUCCGACGUUCGUCGUCGUGCACUUCUCCCCUAGUAGAACGUCGCGACCCGCUGGGUGUCGGUCUACGGCCCGGGAGCGGUGUCUGACGCGUCGCCGGUAAAACGGCCCGCCGUCAAACCCUCGGUCGCCCGGCCGGCUGCCCGGCGGUACACGCAAGGUACGAGGCCGCACACACACGCUCGAGAGAGUGAGAGAGUGCGUCGAGGCCGUCGCAAGCGCGCGCCACGGUACACGGAGGCACGGACCUAGCGCCGUCGCCGGUCCUGGCCCGCUGUUGGUCGCACGGUUAACCUUCGACAGGCCCGCGAACGUUCCCCCACGCGUCGCGCGCGCGGGGGGACCGAUAUACCGGUCGGCGACGCUACUGCUUUGGGUACUCUUAGGACCCGUCUUGAAACACGGACCAAGGAGUCUAACAUGUACGCGAGUCAUUGGGACUCCUUCGCGACACCUAAAGGCGCAAUGAAAGUGAAGGUCGGCCCUGGUCGUCGACCGAGGGAGGAUGGGCCGCGUCGCGGCGCGGCUCCGCACUCCCGGGGCGUCUCGUUCUCAUCGCGAGAAGAGGCGCACCCAGAGCGUACACGUUGGGACCCGAAAGAUGGUGAACUAUGCCUGGUCAGGACGAAGUCAGGGGAAACCCUGAUGGAGGUCCGUAGCGAUUCUGACGUGCAAAUCGAUCGUCGGAACUGGGUAUAGGGGCGAAAGACUAAUCGAACCAUC